UACGUAGGGGGCAAGCGUUGUCCGGAAUUAUUGGGCGUAAAGAGCUCGUAGGCGGUUCGGUAAGUCGGAUGUGAAAUCUCCACGCUUAACGUGGAGGGGCCAUUCGAUACUGCCGUGACUCGAGUCCGGUAGGGGAGUGUGGAAUUCCCGGUGUAGCGGUGAAAUGCGCAGAGAUCGGGAGGAACACCCGUAGCGAAGGCGGCACUCUGGGCCGGUACUGACGCUGAGGAGCGAAAGCGUGGGGAGCAAACAGG
rnacentral:rRNA from 1 species